CUUGUACAUAACUUCGUUGUAAGGAGCAUUGUCAAGUGUUGAAAGGGAAAGAGUAUGUGAAGGUAUGAGUUUCGGGGGUUUCACCAUUUCGAGAUGGAUUGCAUCCACAAUGCCUGUUGAAUAUAGAACUCGGCUCAUGAAAUAGGCUCCACUCAGUGCUGCGAACUCAGCCAACGACUGCUCGGCGGCUAGAGAUACAACUCGAAGACUCGGCCCAGAUGCUCGUUCCAUUAAGCUGGCUCAUUAGGUUAAACCGACUUAAUUAGGGUAAAAUGAUGAAGAGGUUUAUACAUAAAAGGAGGAUAAGAGAGACCAGCAAGAUUAUUCAGACUUGGAUACAAGGACUAGAGACUGACGACUGGAAUUAGGGUUUUACUAGUCUUAGAUCUUUUUUUGCCACUCCGCCGAGUACUGGUUCAUUUCUCUAUUGUUCGCAUGCAUAUCAUAAUUUUUAUUUCAUCAUAUCAAUAAAAAGUUAAAAAACGCCUUUGAAAUUACCCACAAUCGAGGUUUGUCCUUCUUAUUCUCAAGAGUCGGUUUCGUGUAGAGAAUUCCAUCCGAUCUACCGUCUCUUGAAUUGCUGGUUUUAUGUCCCGACACUCUCACACUUUAAAAUAAUGGUCAACUGCAACACAAGAAUUGAAGGUUUGGAUUUCGAGUUUCCUAAAAUCAAGUUUACAAAAUGAAAACUUUCAUUAAAUAUAAAGUUUUUUUAAAUGGAAAUUUCGUUAAAUGAAACAAUUCAUAAGUUAUCUUAAAACAUAAACUUCUGAUAUGGAAAGUUUUUAAAUAAGAACUUUCCCAAAAUAAAAUUAUGGUCUCCUAACUAAAACGGCCAUCACUUUCUAACAUACGUUUGUCGAUCAUAAAGAUGAUACGAAAAGCUGACUCUGAGAUCUUUCCAGUGAUACCUAGAUUACCUUUUGGUCAUUUCUAGAUUGACGGGAAAUCACUCUUUAAGUUGACUGCUCAUAAAUUCAUCUGCAGAGAAAACAACUAUAACUAAAAAAAAUUCUAAAUGAUGACCUACUCCGUGCUACUAUGAGUGGAGAGCUUACCCUAACAGUUAAGAUUCGAAAUUCAUUGUUUCGGUAAUUCGUUUCCAUGUUCUCCCAAAACGUGUCUGCGUACUUUAUAUUCUCAUUUCUGUAGAUUUGAUGACUGGUGGCGAUUAAUAGCUGCUCUGUUGACAUUCGACAGUGAUUCACUAUUUCACCAUUCUAAAAGACUGUCAAAAACCGCAAUAAUUUUUAUUUGAAUAGAAAAAGAUAAAUGUUUUAAUGGAGAUAGGCUUUAGUUACUGAGCGAGGUUAAUAAGUAAUUACAAAGUUAGUGAGUACACAAUCAUUUACUAAGAUGUUAAUUGACAUUUUUCGUCAAAAAAAAAAAGAUGUUAAUUGACAUUUGUUUUCUUACGAUAAAAUCGUUGGCAACGUUACCGUGGGACAUUUUAAUAAUAACUCUUGGCCCGUUAAUUAUUGUCAAAGAAAACUGGCCACGUUAACCUCAAAUCCUUUAACAACUGUCAUCUACUAUAUAAUGGUAAAGUAUUUCCUGACGUUGUCUUGUACGUACGGAAAAUAUUUUUUAAGGAAAUUAGAUGAGAUAACCAACAAAAACUAUAAUUCACUCACUAACUAAAAUUACAUUUUUCCUCCUCUUUUUUUUUUUUAUUUCUAUGAAAUUAACUUUCAUUUUUUUUUCACAAAUAAGUCCUAUUUUAUACUCUUGUUUUUUCUUGUCAAUAUAUAUUCUUAUUUUAUAAAGUCUUAUAAUAUUAUUUAAAAAGUUAGUUCAUACGUAUAAAAUUCACGUUAAUUCACAUGAUAGUAAAUUACUUUAAUAAAAUAGAUGUGUUACAAUUAUUAUGUAAUUUUCAUUAUCAAUAUUUAUAUUUUAAUUUUUCAUUAGUUUUUUGUUUUAUUUUAUUUUUUCAAAAUAACAAAACGGAACAUAUCUAUAAAUUUUUUUAAAGCUAUUUGGAUUUUUAUUUUGUAAACCAUACUUAAAUUUCUUUUUCAAAAGUCAAUAAUAUAUGUAUACUUGAUUAUUAAGAAUUAUUUUAACAGUUAAUUACUUCAAUUACAACAUUAUAUUCCUUUAAAUUUAUAAUAAUAUUACAAAUGUCUGUUGACCAUGGAAAUAAUCUUGGAUCGUUUAUGGUCUAUUGCGACCACAAAACAUUUCAAAGAACCCACUACAUCACUCAAGGUCCAAAAACAUUGAUAUGGAACUAGUUUAAGAACAACAUGUAGUAGUUGAAAAAAGUCUCACUGAAUUGAAAAUAUCUGAUUUAUUCAGAAAACCACUUGAAACUUAAUCGUUUUAUUACUCUUCGCAACUAAAUUCAAGUUUGUAAACAUAAUCAAGAACAUCUUUCUUCUGGAUAAGUGUUACUGAUUAUACAUACAUCUUCCUCUACCUCUGCGUCUUUCUCUGGCUAUAUCUCUUCUUCAUCUUCCAAGCGAUUCUUCAUUUUCUAACCAUUUAUACAUAAAUUUUCUUCUAGCUCUGCCUCUUCUUCUUCGACGAGAUUUGCCAAUUGAUAGAAAUUUUGUUUGUUCCGGUUUUUCUUUUUUCGUUUGAAAAAAAGACGAAAGAUUUUUAGUAAUUGUGUAGUAGUGAUGAUCAGAAUCAUGAACAAUCACAAUAAGUUAUCAGCUAUUUAUAUAUCUCUUAGUAUAUCCCUAAACAUAUUCUGUGAAAUAAUUUGCUUAUGUGUUAUCACCAUAUCCAUAUUUAACACCUAGUAUAUAUAUAUUCCGUGUAGAACUAUAAUUUUCUUUAAUUAACAAAGUAAGACAGAAAUAACAAAAUAAACAAAAAUACAAAAAAGUAAACUACAAAGUCUUUAAAAUUAUAUAUUAACAAUAUAUUUAUUGUUUUAUAAUUUCUAUAAAUUUUUUAAUCCAAUCCUAAAUAUAAAUAUCAAAAUAAAAAGAUUAAUUUUUUUUGUCACAAGUUUAAAUUGGAAGGUUUAAACCAAAAACAAAUUUACCCUUUUUAUGAUAAUUGAUUUUUGAAAUAUUAUUUAAGUAAUUUUCUUUAAUAUUUUAAUAUUUAUAAAUAAAUAUUAAAAUACAAUCGAAAUUAAAAAAAAAACAGAUCUAAAAUGAGAUAUUUUUUUACUAAUUCUGAACUUACGUUAAAUAUACAUGUAACACCUUCUUUUAGUAAUAUAAUAUUUUGAUAAAAUAAUUAUGUGAAUAAUAUUAAAUUUUCACAAUAUUUUUAUGUCAGACUCAGAAUAUUUAGAUUUAAAUAUAAAUUUAUAAUAUUAUAUUAUAUUAUAUUGUAUUAUACAUUUAACUACUAAGAUAUCUUUUCGUUACAAUAUUUAUUAAUAAUAUAAUGAACAAGAAAAAAUAUAUUUCAUAAAAUAUUAGAAAAGGACAAUAUAAAUUGAUUUCUGUAUUAUAUAAUUUAAUGCUAUUAUAUGACAUAAAUAUUAAUAAUAAAAAAGAUCACAUAAAAUAUGAAAAAUAAAAUAUAAAUAACAAUAAUUUAUUAUAGGAAAUGGAAUUUAUAAAUAUUUUAUUUUUAUUUUUUUAGUUUAUUGAUAGUUAAUUUUUUUGUUAAAGCAAUAUAACAUUUUAAAUUAUUAAAUGAAUUUAAAAUUUAAAUAUAAAACUAAAUAAGAAACUGUUACAAAAAUGAGGAAAUGGAAAGGAAAAAAAAACAAAAAGUGAAAUAGAACAAAAAUGACCCAAAGAUAUUGUUGUCACAGUGGGGUCCGCCGCAGGAGAAAUAGAAAAUAAAAAAAAUAAGAAAAAGAAAAAGAAAAGGAAAUGGCAGCAUUUGAAAGUAAAUUAUAUAAAGGGUAGUGAGAAUAAGUAAAGGGUAAAGAGAAUGAUUUUUUUGCCAAAAGGGCAUAUUGAGUAAAGGUUCCUUUUUAUGAUUCGAUCUAUUUUUUUUUUGUCUAUUUUUAUAUCAUUUGAUCUUGGAGGAUCACAAGUUAGCUCACAAGGUUUUUCACAAAGUGGAUCACAAGUUGGCUCACAAGGUUGAUGAUCAUGGGAUGGAUAUGUUACUUAUUGUGAUAUUCUUAUUCAGCCGAUUCUACUUUUUGUUGUGGACUGGGUCACUUAGAAUGCAUCCGUUGUUGUCGUACGAUAGUGUAGGAUGCAUUUUGUUUGUAACUUAUGUGAGAUAAGCUGUCAAUGUACUUUUGUUAGUGUAUAAUACGUCUUUGGCAUGGUCAAUGUCAAAGAUACAAGAGCUCAAACAUAAACAUAGAUUACACAUGAAACAAAGAUGCAAAAGUUUAACAGAAAUAGUUUUACAAAAGAGACUAAGAAGAGCUUAACAGAAACAUUCUGAAACAGUCUUGAGACAUAGAUACAAGAGCUUAAGAUAUGAGAUAGACAAUUGCGAUUACAACUAACAUCAAACAAAAGAUUAUUCUUAUCUCAAACUUUGUCCAAAUAACAGCCUCUAUUAAGUCAUCAAUCACCUUCUUCAAGCAAUCAACCUCGAUAUUCAUAUUGUAAAUCUCAGAUAGAAUGUUCUCAAGCUUUGGAAGUGGAUCUUAAACACUGCUCUUCAAGCUUUCCAAAAUAUUGUUUCCCAAAGGAAUCAAACUCAUCUCUUUCUCUCAGUUUUGGCUUGCAAUAGUUACGUAGGAGAAGAGUAUUCUAAGAAGAAGAAGUGAAAUCAAAUUACAGAGAAG